rnacentral:tRNA from 1 species
GCCUCCGUAGCUCAGGGGAUAGAGCACUGCUCUCCUAAAGCGGGUGUCGCGCGUUCGAAUCGCGCCGGGGGCACCA